rnacentral:rRNA from 1 species
UACGUAGGAUGCAAGCGUUGUCCGGAUUUACUGGGCGUAAAGAGCGCGCAGGCGGUCGAUCAAGUCGAGUGUGAAAGCCCCCGGCUCAACUGGGGAGGGUCAUUCGAUACUGAUCGACUCGAAGGCAGGAGAGGGUAGUGGAAUUCCAGGUGUAGCGGUGAAAUGCGUAGAUAAUCUGGAGGAACACCGGUGGCGAAGGCGGCUUGA